GGAUUUUCCAAUAAAUGGUAAAAUCGGGAAAAUAGAUACAAUAUUGAACAAAUAUUAUUAUAGAAAGUAUACAAUGUAUAUGCAAUUAUUCUACCAUGCGUCAUAUAUUUUGUUAAUAAAGCUAUACUAUUAACCAAACUGCUCAGAAUCGUUUUUCAUUAGCAACAGCUAAUUGUUGUGUACAAAUAUACAUUCAAUUCAAUUUCCUCUCUACAUUCUCAGUUUCUCCCCUACAAGAGUGGCUUACCUGUGUAUAAAGUAGGUC